rnacentral:rRNA from 1 species
GAAGCCUACUAGCUAGCCCAACAGAAGACGAUAAUCUAGUUUACUUAAAGUCACAUGGACCACAAAAAACUAAAAUAAAACAUUCUUCCGCCUCAGUAUCGGAGAGAGAAGAGGGACAACGGAGCAAUAGAGACAGUACCGCAAGGGAAUGCUGAAAGAGAAGUGAAAUAACCCAGUGAAGCGAACAGAAGCAGAGAUUACCCCUCGUACCUUUUGCAUCAUGAUUUAGCCAGGACACUCAGGCAAAAAGUAUUUCAGUCUGAGCCCCCGAAACCAAGUGAGCUACUCCAGGGCAGCCUAUUUGUAGGGCAAACCCGUCUCUGUGGCAAAAGGGUGGGGAGACCCUUGAGUAGAGGUGACAAACCUACCGAACUUGGUUAUAGCUGGUUGCCUAGGAAAUGAAUGUGAGUUCAGCCUCCCCGAUUCUUGGCUAAUAUCCACAUGUUAAAUAGUACAAGAAACCGGAAGAGUUAGUCGAAGGGGGUACAGCCCCUUUGAAACGGAAACAACUUUUAAGGGAGGGCCAGGAUCAUA